AUUGAACGCUGGCGGCAGGCUUAACACAUGCAAGUCGAGCGAGCGGCGGACGGGUGAGUAACGUCUGGGAAACUGCCUGAUGGAGGGGGAUAACUACUGGAAACGGUAGCUAAUACCGCAUACCAUCAGAUGUGCCCAGAUGGGAUUAGCUAGUGGGUGGGGUAAUGGCUCACCUAGGCGACGAUCCCUAGCUGGUCUGAGAGGAUGACCAGCCACACUGGGACUGAGACACGGUCCAGACUCCUACGGGAGGCAGCAGUGGGGAAUAUUGCACAAUGGGCGCAAGCCUGAUGCAGCCAUGCCGCGUGUGUGAAGAAGGCCUUCGGGUUGUAAAGCACUUUUGGCAGGGAGGCGGUACCCGCAGAAGAAGCACCGGCUAACUCCGUGCCAGCAGCCGCGGUAAUUC
rnacentral:rRNA from 1 species